rnacentral:rRNA from 1 species
UCCCCCAAGAGUCCACAUCGACGGGGAGGUUUGGCACCUCGAUGUCGGCUCAUCACAUCCUGGGGCUGUAGUAGGUCCCAAGGGUUGGGCUGUUCGCCCAUUAAAGUGGUACGCGAGCUGGGUUCAGAACGUCGUGAGACAGUUCGGUCCCUAUCCGUCGCAGGCGUAGGAAAUUUGAGAAGACCUGUCCUUAGUACGAGAGGACCGGGAUGGACGUACCUCUGGUGUACCAGUUGUCCUGCCAAGGGCAUGGCUGGGUAGCUAUGUACGGAAUGGAUAAGCGCUGAAAGCAUCUAAGCGCGAAGCCAACUUCAAGAUAAGAUUUCCCACCGCAAGGGUAAGACCCCAGAAAGACUAUCUGGUUGAUAGGUCGAAGGUGUAAGUGCAGCAAUGUAUUUAGCUUAUCGAUACUAAUAGGUCGAGGACUUGACCAAU